rnacentral:rRNA from 1 species
UACGAAGGGGGCUAGCGUUGCUCGGAUUGACUGGGCGUAAAGGGCGCGUAGGCGGAUAGUACAGUCAGGCGUGAAAUUCCUGGGCUCAACCUGGGGGCUGCGUUUGAUACGUAUUGUCUGGAGUUCGGAAGAGGGUCGUGGAAUUCCCAGUGUAGAGGUGAAAUUCGUAGAUAUUGGGAAGAACACCGGUGGCGAAGGCGGCGACCUGGUCCGAUACUGACGCUGAGGCGCGAAAGCGUGGGGAGCGAACAGG